rnacentral:rRNA from 1 species
CAAGUCGAACGGACUCCAUGCAGUAGCAAUACUGCGGAAGAGUUAGUGGCGAACGGGUGAGUAUCACGUGAGAAACCAACCCCGGUCUCUGGGAUAACAGGUGGAAACACCUGCUAAUACCGGAUGCCGUCGUUUCCUCGCAUGGGGAGAUGACGAAAGGGCUACCGGAUCGGGACGGUCUCGCGGCCUAUCAGCUUGUUGGGGAGGUAACGGCUCACCAAGGCUUCGAUGGGUAGCUGGUCUGAGAGGAUGAUCAGCCACACUGGGACUGAGACACGGCCCAGACUCCUACGGGAGGCAGCAGUGGGGAAUCUUGCGCAAUGGGCGAAAGCCUGACGCAGCAACGCCGCGUGCGGGAUGAAGGCCUUCGGGUUGUAAACCGCUUUUACCAGGAAGGAAAAUGACAGUACCUGGAGAAUAAGGUGCGGCCAACUACGUGCCAGCAGCCGCGGUGACACGUAGGCACCAAGCGUUGUCCGGAUUUAUUGGGCGUAAAGAGCUCGUAGGCGGUUCAGUAAGUCGGGUGUGAAAACUCUGGGCUUAACCCAGAGACGCCACCCGAUACUGCUGUGACUUGAGUCCGGUAGGGGAGUGGGGAAUUCCUGGUGUAGCGGUGAAAUGCGCAGAUAUCAGGAGGAACACCAAUGGCGAAGGCACCACUCUGGGCCGAGACUGACGCUGAGGAGCGAAAGCGUGGGUAGCAAACAGGAUUAGAUACCCUGGUAGUCCACGCCGUAAACGGUGGGCACUAGGUGUGGGUUCCAACCAACGGAAUCCGCGCCGUCGCUAACGCAUUAAGUGCCCCGCCUGGGGAGUACGGCCGCAAGGUUAAAACUCAAAGGAAUUGACGG